AAAGCUAUUGGAAAAAUACUUUGGAUGAUAUCUAGAAAAACAAAAUAUCACUUACAGUUUUGUUAACUUAAAAUUUUAUUUGAAUUUCAAUUUAUCUUCACCACUCACAGAUCAAAAGGAGUUUCAAUUCAAUGUUAACUUGAAUGCAAACUAAUUGUUUUCUCAAUUGACUUAACUAUAGGUUUUGUUAUAUGAAAUCUAAUUUUUUGAGGAAGUUCCUACCUGGAUAAAGAGAUAAAAAUAUUCAUUUGUAUGUGGAAUGAAGUAUAGGACUCCCUUUCCAUGGUCAGUGGGCAUAAAAAGAGAAGUAAAAUAUUGUCCCUGCUUAUGGAGCUCAGUCUAGUGGGUGAGUCCACACAUUAAGAAACACUGAGAAUAGAAUUGCAGGGACAGAACUAACACGAGACCACAAAGGAAGCGCAGCUGCCAGAGUAUGAAAAGAGAAGCCCUGGAGAAGGUGCCAACUGAGCCUAGCAAGAGUAGGAGUUGGCCAGAUCCAGAAUUCACUCUGCUAUUUCUCAAGAGUCUGACCUGCAUCAACAGCCUCCCUUAUUCUGUGAUCCCAGUUUUGGAGAUCAAGGACAAGUUCAUUCUGGGUUGGCCGUGUCCAACUACUUUAAGCCAGCUACAUCCCCACCGGAAGCCAGGCUCUUGCCAACAGCUGUCUCCACAUUCCUCUUUCUAUGUCUGUUAUUUGUCUCUAGGUUCUGGUAACUACUUCCUCCUUUUGCCCCUUCUGGCCUAGGAUACCACCAAUCCCUCCUCCCAAUCAUGCUUUCACUAGCCUCAAAGUACUUGUAGCUUCCUCCCUUUACCUUCACCUUAAUAAAUUAUCCCCCUACUAUCUCUCUUCAAAGCACCUAAUUUGAGUGUGCCAUCUGUUUCUUGCCAGGAUCCUGGUUGAUACAUCAACCAAGCUGCAUAGCUGGAGGAGUACUGUGCUGAACUUUAGGACUGAAGCCACAGGGCCCUCACUGCCCACAUAGUCACCUUGGUCAUCUCCUGCUUCCCUGAAAGACUGAGUUCAGUUGGUUCAGGUACAUGCAUAUCCAGACAUGCCAGGGAAAACUCCAUUUUGUAAGGAUCUCGACUUACAAUGCCAAAGGUUUGAAAGUUUGCAAACACUGGAGGAAAGCACAGUUCUUCAUCUUACUCUUACUGUAAACUUGGAGAUACAUGCAUUUUUUUUUUAAACUGUGCAUGUUAGAAUGCUGAAGUGUAGCAGAUCAUUUCUGGUGAGACACCACAAACAAUAUUUGAUGAGGCCAAAAAAUAAGAAAGAAGGAAAUGAAAGAUCUCAGGAAUCUCAGGAAGAGCUCAUUGAACACUGCCUUUAUGUUAGGCCAUUUUAUGCACAGCUCUGUUAAUCAGGAUUGGAUAUACCUCCAUGAGGGCGUCUUAAACUGAGGGAAACAGAUGCCGUAACUAAGAGAAAGAAUGCAAUAGAAGUUUAUCUUAAUGCCUAUUCUGCAAUGCACAACUUUCCUAAGCCAAAAUUUUAACCUUAUGA
rnacentral:lncRNA from 1 species